CGGUUUCUCAGGCCUUCAUUUUUUUUAAACCUCAAAAUUUAACUUUUGAACAAUUCGUCACGUACAUCAAACAUCAUAAACGUUUACGAAACGCAUUGUCCCAAAAAUAGUAAACUGGCUAAGCAAUAAAACAAAAAAUACACAUAUGUUUCUUAUAAGACCUUUAAUAAGAAAGCCAAAAAAUAUUUACUCAGCAAAGCUUUAAUCUAACCAUUGUUCACUGACUCUCGCUUUACUGAAGCAACAUCGCUAAUGAUCAUUUUACGUUUAAAAAAAAAUAGAGUGUAUACGAAAGCAAAACAAAACAAACAAAACAGAACAAAACAAAAAUAAUGUAAACCCAAAGUAUAAUCAAAAACCAUCAUCAGCCUUAAAAUCUCUUAUACAUGCAUACAAAUCUUUUGGAAUAGAAUAAAUAUAUCGCUUUUACUCUUUUUUUGUUCUGAAUUCCCAACCUCUUUUUAAUUGCCAAAAGUUAUUAAUGCUUCCUUCUUACUUGUCUUCGA